rnacentral:rRNA from 1 species
UCUUUCUUUGCUGACGACCGGCGCACGGGUGAGUAACACGUAUCCAACCUGCCCUUUACUCGGGGAUAGCCUUUCGAAAGAAAGAUUAAUACCCGAUAGCAUAAUGAUUCCGCAUGGUUUCAUUAUUAAAGGAUUCCGGUAAAGGAUGGGGAUGCGUUCCAUUAGGUUGUUGGUGGGGUAACGGCCCACCAAGCCUUCGAUGGAUAGGGGUUCUGAGAGGAAGGUCCCCCACAUUGGAACUGAGACACGGUCCAA